rnacentral:rRNA from 1 species
CCUACGGGUGGCAGCAGUGAGGAAUAUUGGUCAAUGGGCGCGAGCCUGAACCAGCCAAGUCGCGUGAGGGAAGACGGUCCUAUGGAUUGUAAACCUCUUUUGUCGGGGAGCAAAAGACGCCACGUGUGGCGUUCCGAGAGUACCCGAAGAAAAAGCAUCGGCUAACUCCGUGCCAGCAGCCGCGGUAAUACGGAGGAUGCGAGCGUUAUCCGGAUUUACUGGGUGUAAAGGGAGCGCAGGCGGGAAGCCAAGUCAGUUGUGAAAACUACGGGCUUAACUUGUAGACUGCAGUUGAAACUGGUUUUCUUGAGUGAAGUAGAGGUUGGCGGAAUUCCGAGUGUAGCGGUGAAAUGCGUAGAUAUUCGGAGGAACACCGGUGGCGAAGGCGGCCAACUGGGCUUUAACUGACGCUGAGGCUCGAAAGUGUGGGGAGCAAACAGGAUUAGAUACCCCGGUAGUC